AACCUUUGGGCGGCGUGCUAAUACAUGCAAGUCGAGCGAAUCUGAGGGAGCUUGCUCCCAAAGAUUAGCGGCGGACGGGUGAGUAACACGUGGGCAACCUGCCUGUAAGACUGGGAUAACUCCGGGAAACCGGGGCUAAUACCGGAUAAUAUCUAUUUAUACAUAUAAUUAGAUUGAAAGAUGGUUCUGCUAUCACUUACAGAUGGGCCCGCGGCGCAUUAGCUAGUUGGUGAGGUAACGGCUCACCAAGGCGACGAUGCGUAGCCGACCUGAGAGGGUGAUCGGCCACACUGGGACUGAGACACGGCCCAGACUCCUACGGGAGGCAGCAGUAGGGAAUCUUCCGCAAUGGACGAAAGUCUGACGGAGCAACGCCGCGUGAGUGAUGAAGGUUUUCGGAUCGUAAAACUCUGUUGUUAGGGAAGAACAAGUAUCGGAGUAACUGCCGGUACCUUGACGGUACCUAACCAGAAAGCCACGGUUAACUACGUGCCAGCAGCCGCGUUAAUACGUAGGUGGCAAGCGUUGUACGGAAAUUAUUGGGCGUAACGCGCGCGCAGACUAUUCCUAAGUCUGAU
rnacentral:rRNA from 1 species